UGGGACGUCGUCUAAUGGUAGGACAACGGAUUCUGGUUCCGUCAGUGGGGGUUCGACUCCCUCCGUCCCAGCCA
rnacentral:tRNA from 4 species